UCUAAUCUUCUAUCUCAGCAGUUCUCAAACUGUAGGUCACAACUCCAUUUUAAUGGGGUUGCCACAGCUGGCUUAGACUUGAUGGGGCC